rnacentral:rRNA from 1 species
AUUGAACGCUGGCGGCAGGCCUAAAACAUGCAAGUCGAGCGGUAACAGGGGAAGCUUGCUUCUCGCUGACGAGCGGCGGACGGGUGAGUAAUGUAUGGGGAUCUGCCCGAUAGAGGGGGAUAACUACUGGAAACGGUGGCUAAUACCGCAUAAUCUCUUAGGAGCAAAGCAGGGGAACUUCGGUCCUUGCGCUAUCGGAUGAACCCAUAUGGGAUUAGCUAGUAGGUGAGGUAAUGGCUAACCUAGGCGACGAUCCCUAGCUGGUCUGAGAGGAUGAUCAGCCACACUGGGACUGAUACACGGCCGAGGCUCCUACGGGAGGCAGCAGUGGGGAAUAUUGCACAUGGGGCGCAAGCCUGAUGCAGCCAUGACGCGUGUAUGAAGAAGGCCCUAGGGUUGUAAAGUACUUUCAGUUGGGAGGAAGGCGUUGAUGCUAAUAUCAUCAACGAUUGACGUUACCAGCAGAAGAAGCACCGGCUAACUCCGUGCCAGCCGCCGCAGUAA